CUUAAUUCCUACAUUUGGGUGAGGUUCCAAAUAGUUAAGUGGGUGUGAGUGUAAGGGUACGUCCAGACUACCCACUGGAUUGGUGGGUAGCGAUCGAUCUAUCGGGGAUCGAUAGAUCGCAUCUCGUCUAGACGCAAUAUAUCAAUCCCUGAACGCGUGCUUCCGUCGACUCCAGAACUUCACCAGGGCGAGCAGCAGUAGCGGAGUUGACGGGGAGAGCCGCGGCCAUUGAUCCCACGCCGUGAGGACGGAGGUAUUUUAGAUGUGAAGAAAUGAAAGAAGAUUACAACCAUUUUACUGAAGCCCCACUGGAAAUGAAAAGUUUAUCAUCUUGAAAUCCAACAAGUUUAAAAAUCAAUCAAAUUUAUCCUAUAUUUUUGUGUAUUAAAUACAUAAUUUUUUCUCCAAUCAAUAGAAUCUUCCAAAAAAUAAGCAUUCAGUGAGAACAGAUAGACAUUGUAUAUUUGAUUGCUUGAAUACCCAAAUAUACAGCCCAGUAAAUCACUGAGGACCACUGCCUAUGCCACCAAUCACCAGAAUAUCCUCUUACUAGAAUGUCUAAUUAAUGAGGACAGCCAGUUAAACAAAAAGGAAGCUUUAUAAAAAGAGGCUGGAACAGAAAUUAACCAUAGACCCAAUAUCCGUUACUAAGAAAAAUACAUUCAAGAGCCCUGAUUUUGUGUCUUGCAGCUGCACAGCACUCCCACAUAUUACCAAUGUCAAGCUGGCUCCAAUAUUGGAGACGCUGUGGAAAAGGAAAUAAUCAACACCAUUUCAGCAGAGAAAUAAAUUGCCAAGUUGGUAUUAAAAUUUUAGUAAUAAAACCAAAUGCAAAUGCUAAUCUACUCUGUAUUAUUUAGAAAAGUCUGUUUUGGAUCAAGAAAGGAAUAAUCUGCACAA